rnacentral:rRNA from 1 species
AUGCUAGGUGGCGUGGGUGUGAUGGCAACGCAAUGCAACCAGGCUGAUAGGACUUCGACCGCUGCAGCAAAGCUGGGGCUGCGCCUGCUUUGCUUCGGAGCGGCGAAGAGGGAAGUACAUACGGCCGAGAGAGAGAAAGUCCAACAUGGAGACGAUGGAUGGACGGAUGGACAUUGUGAGUUCAGCUUUGUUGUGAUCCUGCAAAUGUUCAGCUGCAGCUGCGAAGAGAUGCUGUCACAUCCGCUGCAAGGAAGGGCAACGGAGCUGGAUCCUUUUGGGGGAUGCUUUCAUGAGCAGACGGCUCAAGUUGCCAGGAAUAUAAGAACGUUUAGAACACUAAAAUAG